rnacentral:rRNA from 1 species
AGCAGUGGGGAAUAUUGCACAAUGGGCGCAAGCCUGAUGCAGCAACGCCGCGUGAAGGAAGACGGUUUUCGGAUUGUAAACUUCUGUUCUUAGUGAAGAAUAAUGACGGUAGCUAAGGAGCAAGCCACGGCUAACUACGUGCCAGCAGCCGCGGUAAUACGUAGGUGGCAAGCGUUGUCCGGAAUUACUGGGUGUAAAGGGAGCGCAGGCGGGUGAUCAAGUCAGCUGUGAAAACUACGGGCUUAACCCGUAGACUGCAGUUGAAACUGUUCAUCUUGAGUGAAGUAGAGGUUGGCGGAAUUCCGAGUGUAGCGGUGAAAUGCGUAGAUAUUCGGAGGAACACCAGUGGCGAAGGCGGCCUGCUGGGCUUUUACUGACGCUGAGGCUCGAAAGUGUGGGGAGCAAACAGGAUUAGAUACCCUGGUAGUCCACACUGUAAACGAUGAUUGCUAGGUGUGGGGGGUCUGACCCCUUCCGUGCCGGAGCUAACGCAAUAAGCAAUCCACCUGGGGAGUACGACCGCAAGGUUGAAACUCAAAGGAAUUGACGGGGACCCGCACAAGCAGUGGAUUAUGUGGUUUAAUUCGAAGCAACGCGAAGAACCUUACCAGCACUUGACAUCCAACUAACGAAAUAGAGAUAUAUUAGGUGCCCUUCGGGGAAAGUUGAGACAGGUGGUGCAUGGUUGUCGUCAGCUCGUGUCGUGAGAUGUUGGGUUAAGUCCCGCAACGAGCGCAACCCUCGCCAUUAGUUGCUACGCAAGAGCACUCUAAUGGGACCGCUACCGACAAGGUGGAGGAAGGUGGGGACGACGUCAAAUCAUCAUGCCCCUUAUGUGCUGGGCUACACACGUAAUACAAUGGCCAUCAACAGAGAGAAGCAAUACCGCGAGGUGGAGCAAAACUUCAAAAAUGGUCUCAGUUCGGACUGCAGGCUGCAACCCGCCUGCACGAAGUUGGAAUUGCUAGUAAUCGUGGAUCAGCAUGCCACGGUGAAUACGUUCCCGGGUCUUGUACACACCGCCCGUCACACCAUGGGAGCCGGUAACACCCGAAGUCAGUAGUCUAACCGCAAGGAGGACGCUGCCGAAGGUGGGAUUGGCGACUGGGGUGAAGUCGUAACAAGGUAGCCGUAUCGGAAGGUGCGGCUG